CAGAAACAUAAGACAUGGUCUAUUAAUUUCAAGUUCUAUACAGUAGUUCAUCUUGGUCUGUGUAUAUCUUGAAAGUAAAAUUAUGACUUUUAUAAACAUGUUGCAUUGCUGAGGGAGUAUGACUAUCAUGCGGCCAUUUUGUAAAAAUCACAGGUUUAAAAUCUCCAAAUUAAGUUGAUUAAAAUGUUUAGUCGAUUUACAUUUCAUAAAUUCAGUGACAAUUAAACACACAUUCAAUAAUUAGACUACAGCGACAAAAAUUUUUCAGUCUCAUAUUCUUUGUAAAGGCAUCGGAUUUUCUAACUUUGUGUUCACUUUGUUUCAGCUCACCAGAAAAUCAGUUCAAGACACAGAAAAGCAAAUGAAAACUUUAGAAGUACUGAUAAUCAAAUGGGCCUGUUCUCAUAUUUAAUUCCACUUUCCUAUGUCCAAGAAUGAGUUUCAUCAUGGUAUUUUUUCCUCAAAAGAACAUUAAUUUGUUAUCCGAGUUACCUGAUAUAAUAAUGUAUUGACCUAGUUGAUUGGUGUAGUUGAAAGAAGGAGAUUAUCUGUUGCUGAAAUGGAUUAAUAACAUCUCCGCGUUCACUUUUGUUGAUGUUUUCCCCAAACCACACACACUCAAGGUCAUUAUGUGUAGCAGGCCACCAUGGAAGCAGAGGGCUUUAACACAGAGGGCUUUCCUUACGGCUCAGCCCAGCGGGCUCCUCAUGGCACGUACUAGACAUUCUGGUUCUCAGGAGUGCCUUGGCCCCUGCCACCAUUGGAAAGUUCCAAAUGGGCCGGCUCCUCUCACAUCUGCCCUGCUCACCUCCCACGCCUCCAGGAGCUCCAUGCUGUCCCACUUUAUCAUACACAAACGUUUGGCUCAUUUCUCAACCAGGCCAUCGGAGUGUUUCUUUUCUUUUUUUUUUUUUAAAGAUUUUAUUUAUUUAUUUGACAGAGACAGACAGCAAGAGAGGGAAUACAAGCAGGGGGAGUGGGAGAGGGAGAAGCAGGCUUCCCGCUGAGCAGGAAUCCCGAUGCGGGGCUCGAUCCCAGGACUCUGGGAUCAUUACCUGAGCCGAAGGCAGACCCUUAACAGCUGAGCCACUCAGGCGCCCCCCAUCGGAGUGUUUCUUUUCACAGCUGACCAGGAUUUCAGUGGCUAUCUAUGCCUCAACAAAGACACUUCUCUCUCGGAGAGGAUUCGACGUCUAGCUUACAUGUCUUUUCUCCUUCUGGGCCACCUAGGAUGCCAAGUGUGAACAAUAGAAAGAAAAGGAGAAAGAGUACAUUGAAGAAGAUAAAAGAAAACACUUCCAAAUGGGAAAGACGCCACUGGACAAGAAAUACACCCACUUGGGAUUUUGAGAAGCUGCUCGUUGAGGUGAAUCACUGGACAUUUGUGUGACCCAGCAAGAGCCGUUGACAGAGUGACCUACUACCCUCCGUCUGGUUUGAAAAGAUGAGUAAAGAAUCUGGGAAAUGCUAGGCCUCCUCCUGAGUUUUUGUGAUAACCAGAGACACCGCCAUGUGUCCAAGUGGCUGUGGGAUCCUGGCAUCUGGCUGGGAGGCACUGGGGUGGGUGGGGAAGGACAGGGCUGGCUCUUUGCAUUCAGGCCGAUGCCCCACGAUGGUUGGGAUAUUUAUGCUGGGGACCUAGAGGCUCCAGUCCCUCAGUCUGUGUUUACGGGGUGCCGCUUUCCACUGGCUCAUGCCUCCCACCUCCCAUCUCCCCUCUGUUUCCAGGAAACAGUUCUUAAGUAUUCCCUACAAAUUUGCCCUCCAGGUACCUGCUGCUUCAUUCUGUACCCAGCGAUAAGACGGAUAAAAGUCACUACCUGGCUGAGAUGAAGCCUGGGGGUUCAUUUACCCUAAGUGAAAUCACUUGAGGAAGAACUGGCCUCAUUCAUAUGAAGGGCGAGGAAGCUUUUUGACCACAGAGUGACACCAACAUGAAAAUGAUACAAAAUUAAAAGCAAACCGUACCUCAAGGCUUUUUGAAGAGACACAGCGAGAGAGGGAACACAAGCAGGGGGAGUGGGAGAGGGAGAAGCAGGCUUCCCGCGGAGCAGGGAGCCCGAUGCGGGGCUCGAUCCCAGGACCCUGGGAUCAUGACCUGAGCCGAAGGCAGACGCUUAACGACUGAGCCACCCAGGCGCCCCACAGCUGCAUAUUCUUGUGACUAUACUAAAAACCUGUGAAUUGGACACUUUAAAGGAUCAUCAGGUAACCUCAGAGGCUGUCUUGAUCCUUCCGGGAAGGGAUGGAUUUGGAACACCUGGCCCAGAGCCUCGACUCAAAUCUUGCCAACUGUACUAUCAAAGAAAUUCCUCUGGGUUUGUACCCUUCCCAGAUUCGAUGUGUAUGUUAUGUGGAUUUCCGUGCCCCUUGUGGGCGGAGCAAGAACAAAUUGGUGGCCCUUAAAGCAAGGUGGGUGGAGCCUCCACAUAAGGAAAACCUUCAAACCUCAGAAUGGUCUCAACGUGGAAUGGAAUUCCGUGGAAGGCUGUAUCCACCUGGGGCUGGCUUUGUGCAGGAGGGAGGCGGCCACUCCUGAGGCAGCUCUGACUCUGGGCACUGGUAUCUGCGCCCUUGGAGACCAACUGCCUUCUCUCCACACCCUGGACAGCAUGGCAGUCUCUCCCGAGGAUCCAUUUCCAGUGGAACUGGCUAUUUAAAUAGCAGCAUGAGAUGGAAGAAAACACGUUUCACUGAGAAAAGGCCAUCGAUAGUAGUUGUAAGUGUUAAGUUUUCUUUUUUGGGGUCCAUGUGUGCAACUGGUUUAGAAAACCCCAAAUUCAUGUUAUCUUAGACAUUCGGGAAGACAUUGAGGCCUGAUGACAAGGCCCUGCAUCUCAGGGUGCUUAUUAAUUACCUGCAUCCUGCAGGGACGAGCAGGAGUUUGGGAGCAGAGGGGGAACAGGGGCAGAGAGAGAAAGAGAAAUCAGCCACAGAACCCUGGCUUGUAAUGGGAGGAACUACCUCAAGUCCCCUCAUGAGAGUCUAUCUCCUGUUUCUCUGCAGCGAACUUAGCAUGAAAUUUCACUUCUCAGGUGUUCCUUCCCCUCUGUCCUUUUCAGACUCGCUGUCUGUUCUUUCUUUUUAGGUCCCCUGAAGGCAGAUGGGUAGGCUGGCUUUGUUGUGACUCGGUGCCAUUUUGUAGAGUUAAUUCUUCUCUUUCCUCCUUCCAGGAAAAAGAGCAGGGCUUGACAUUAUAAUAGGCCUCCUUAAAUACCUGUAAGAGGGUCAGGUUCACUAAAAUACAAUCAGUUGCUUGUAGGUGAGUAGCAACAAUUCUUGCUCCAAGACCUUAACCUUCCAACCAUUAAAAUGUUAAAUGUAAACAAGAUCGACCCUUCCAUUGCCUUAAAUAAAUGCCUUCUUUUAAAGAACUCAUCCUCGGGUAAAAUUUCCCAGCUACUUUCAUGGAUUUCUCUCCUGAACCUGACAAUUGGCCAUAUCUCUUCCUUCCUAAAUUCUUGUGCUGAGUUUGGUGAGUACGCAGGAGUAAAAUUUCUAAGGCAUGAAGAAAAUUCUGUUACCUUACUGAUGAGCUCCCCUGUUUUUGCUGGCUUGGCUCUAUUGAGCUACAGCCAAAAAGUGACUGUGUCACGCAUGGAUGGAACUCUGGAUGAGGAGGAGGAGAAGCCAAAGGAUGGGAACAGGUGCUACCUAUUCACGGAAUGAAACCCUGUCUUUCUAAGAGAGUAAAACGCCAUAUUUGUGUUCAUAAGGAUCAUCUUUAAUUCAUAGGAUUUGGGGGGAAGGACAUAAAAAUGAUUCUCACACAAAACAAGAUGAGCUAGACUUCAGCUAUGGGCCUGUCAGUACCUUUGGGUGACGCGCAGUGCCCAGAAGCUUCUAGAAAACAAAACAGUCACGGUGGCGAGGUGGGUGAGGAGUGUUCGUUCUGGCCUUGCUCUUGUUGAUACCCAAAGGUUUUGCUUCAGAACUCUGGUCCCCAAAAGGGCUACGGAUGGAUCAAUGCUAUCAAUAAAGGCUCCAGAAAGUUCUUCUUAGCAGUUCUGGGCUCCCUUAGGAAUCAUUUGCUUGACUUUAAGAACUAGGCAUAAAGAACUUCCUCAUCAGGGGGUCAAUGCUGGGGGAUAUUGACCAUGUUGGCGUGACCCGUGUGACAAAUACAACACCUCCAGCAUUUCAGCAUUGUACCCAUGCCUCCGGCCAAAUGUGGUGCUGUCGGGCGAUUCUGUUCUUCUUUUAGGAAAUGUUACUGCUUUCUUCUUAGCCCAGAGCCCUGUCAUCUAACUACAGUAACCCCAGGGGAGGUAGGGAAAAGUUUUCUGUUUGUUUUAGCUGAACAUAGGAUAGUUCCAGCAAAACUGAGUUCUGCUCCCGAGAAAAGAAAAGCAUGGAUGUUCUGUGGGUGGCCAGUAGUUUCUGUCCCCCUUUAUUUUCAUUUCUGGAAAAUGUUGAGUUUAUGAACGUGAAGUGCCCAUUGAUAAUAGAAAUGGUAAUCCGCUACAAGGAAGACACAACUGAUUUUCUGCCCUUGGGUCUAGCUUGGGGAGAGCUUUCUACCCCGGGAAAGGAGAGGGAAGAAGAAAGAGGAGGCUCUGUUAGUAACUACUGGACCCCUAUGAUUGGAAUCUCUUGGUCUAAACCAGCAUCCUUACUUAACAGAUAAGGAAAUUGAGGCCUAGAGAGAUGAACCCCUUUCCCUGCAAGUAUUUAUUGAGUAUCUACAAGGGUCUCUUAUAAGCUCUUGGGACUCACUAGUGAACAAAACAGAAUUCUCUGCCUCGGGGGUCACGUUCCCACCUGCAGGCCCGGGAUGGAGACUGGAAGGCAGGUGUCUUCCAUGCCCAUUGCUUUAUCACUCCGGGCCAAAAGGACUGGAGCUUGAAGG